AGUUCUAAGGAGGAGACAGUGUGCAGAAGAAACUAUUAAAGAUUGUGUGUUACAAAAACUCUCAAAUAUGAGCAGAGGGCUUUGGGUAGUAGAUGUCAUAUACAAAGAAAUGUUUGAAACACGUCUCCUGUUCCAUCGCCUCCCAGUUUAAAAUAAUAAAAUCUUGGGAGGAGUUUUCCUUGUCACCAAGCACCAGGGGUCUCAUGUAUCAACCUUGCGUAGGCACAAAAACUUUGCGUACGCCAGCUUUCACGCUCACGGUCGGAUGUACUAACAGUGAAAUUAACGCAAGAAUGUGCAUUCCUCCAAGCCAAUUUUGUGUCUGGCGUACGUUCAUUUCUCAUUGUUUUUGUUCGUUGGCGACUCUUACAGGCAAUGAAGUGAAGUUGCAAACAUUACACAACAAAUUGUUCUACAAAUCUGGCACCACCACCUGUGGGAAGCAUUGCAAUUAAUUUGCAAUUUAUAAAAUAAUUGACAUAUAUUGUCACACAAGCCUUAUUAUAAUUAUAAUUAAUAUUAUAUAAAUUAUGCAAUUAAAUAAGAACAUAUAAAAGCAUAACGGUUGAAACAACCCUUAGUCUAUGGCAAUGGCAGCGUUGGCCUUAUUAGAGGACAUUGCUAAUGGCAGAAUCCGACGAGAACGAGUUUUAGGGACCACUAUGAUUUUCUGGUCCAGGAUGAUGACUGGCUUAUCAGCCGUUUCAGAUUUCCAAGGGCUAUCCUCUUGGAGCUCUGUGCCGAGUUGGGUCUGAAUCUAGAGAGAGAGACAAUGAGGAGCCACGCAAUACCCGUUCUCUUGCAGGUGCUGACAACACUUGGUUUCCUGGCAACUGGUUCUUUCCAAAGGGAACUGGCAGACCGCUCAGGAAUAAGCCAGUCGUCUUUGAGCCGGGCAAUGCCAGCGGUAUGGGACGGGAUCAUCCGCAUGUCUACCAGGUAUAUCAGGUUCCCAUAUGAUGCAGUUGACCAGCCAAACAUUAAAAUGCAAUUUGCAGCGAUAGCCGGUUUUCCUAAUGUUAUCGGAGCGAUCGACUGCAUACACAUUGCUAUAAAGGCGCCAUCUGAAGAAGAAUUUGCAUAUGUGAAUCGGAAACAUUUCCAUUCAAUAAAUGUACAUAUAAUAUGUGAUGCACAAAUGCGCCUAACAAAUAUUGUGGCAAGGUGGCCUGGGUCAACCCAUGAUUCAUACAUCCUUACAAACAGCAUGGUUGGGAUGAGGCUCCAAGCUGGCAUUGUGCGUGAUGGGUGGCUUCUUGGUAAGUGCAUGAUUCUAUCUAAUUGUAGUUUUUUUUUUUUUUUUUGCAUAUAAUUAUUAAUUAACCCUUCAGGAGACCACGGUUAUCCACUAAAAACGUGGCUUUUAACCCCCCUCACCAACCCACAAACUGACCGAGAGCGCAGAUACAUCGAUGACCAUUCUUGCACUCGUUCAAUUGUAGAACGGGCGAUUGGGCAGCUGAAAUGUCGGUGGCGCUGCCUUGACAGGACUGGGGGGAUGUUGUUAUACCGCCCUGACAAGGUGUGCCGCAUUGUGCUGGCCUUUGGUGUGCUGCACAAUGUCGUGCACAGGCAUGGCAUACCACUUGGUGAGGUGGCAGCACCGCCAGAUGACCCCGACCCAGGACCAAUUUAUGUGCAGCCCAACCAACAAGCCGUUCAUGCACGCCAACAUGUGAUUGCGACAAUAUAAAUGGUAAUCAGAAACAAAAGUUCACUUUUUGAUCAAUUCCUUUAAUGAGUGGCUCAUGUCUGUGAAUGCGUCAGUGAUAUUUUUCAGGUGACUGUUAAUUUCCCCGAUGGCCAUAACGAUUUGCUAUUGUGACUCCAAAACAGCAUGUGUCAAGACGCGGCCAGAUGGACGGGCGUCAGCACUGGGGAGAGCACUGGAAACGCUGGGCACAGUGGGCGCUGGCUGCUCAGAAGGGGCGGACUCCGAAUGCCCCUCCUGGGCAGUGGAUGUUUCGGCUGUUGCGCCAUAUGGGUCUAAUUAAAAAGGCAAAUGUUAACUGUAAUUUAAGUACGUUCCAUUUUUAAGGGGCACUCACAUUUGCAAUAAAUGAAAUAGAUCCGUAAAAUCUCUGGUGUACUUUUGGUCCACUACACGCGUUGUGCUUGUGCAUGUGCGCUCAAUUUUACGUUAAUUGGGAUGUACAAAGGGAAUAUGCGUGGAAUCCUUCGUAUGCAGAGAUUCAUACAUCUGUUUUUUUUUGUGCGUACGCACAUUUACAGCUUUGUCCGUACGCAAUGUUAUAGUAUGAAUUCAACGCAAGUCUUUGUAUAUGACGCCCCAGGACAUUUAGAUUCUGGCUUGUCUCGUGAUUCCUGUACAGCACUAAUUAGUGCCAACCUUAAAAGAAUAAUAAUAAUAAUAAUAAUAAAAGUUCAGUUAACAUGCAUUGUGAAGAUAUUUCAUUGAUACACUCAAUUUACAAAUGAGUGAAUUUAAAUGAGUUAAAAGCUAUAGCGAAUUUAAAUUGGUUAAAGUGAUAAUUCACCCAUAAAUGAAAAUUCUGUCAUUUUUUUAUUCAAAAUAUCUUCUUGGAACUAUUUGUAUUGUACAACGUGUGUCUUAUACAAAAUAAAUAAAGGUGACUUGACUACACAGGGCACUGUAAUUUUAAGUGUUGCUUUUACUUACAGGUUGAAUGUCAAUGAAGGAACGCUUCAUUUCCGUGUAUGAUGUGCACACCAUUUUUCCAUUAGUGUGGUAUGGUGCAGAUGCACUGUAAAAAAUGACUGAUGCAAAAAGUUGUACAAAUGAGGAAAUACAUGUUGGCUCAACAUAAUGGUUGUGUCAAAAAAGAAAAAUAUGUUUGGUCAAUGAUAGCAUGAUUUCCAUGAAAGUACUACAAAAUGUUCAUCAAGAGAAAAUAAAUAAUUGUGUUGAGAGAACUUUUAACGUUGCACAAAAAAUAUUAUGUUGGCCGAGCAAGAGGGAACAGCGUCAAUCGUCUGAGCAUGCGCAAAGGAGUUCUACCAGGUGCAGGCAGCAGGCUGGAGUUUCCCCCACCACGAGUCACGACAUCGCACUGGUUUGCAUCUAACGUAUUGGGGUAACCGUGAAGUUAGCCAUUCCUGACAGCGCUGGACAAUCACACCCAGGGGUUGCUAAAGAUGUACAGAACCAAAGCAAGACAGGGAAGGUGAAACAACUUGGAUGAACUUCUGGAACAACUGGAUGCCCAGACCACAGAUCUAACUACUUAUAGAAGGUCUUCUGUUCUUCGUGGUCUUCCACUGUACUUGAGAGAGCCAGCUUCAAUUUCAAAGACUAUUAAGGAUACUGAGGCAUUGGGGCCACACACAAAGGCCAUGAAAAUGGGGAUCCUGGAAGUGACUGACAGUUCUACCAACUCAGGACCAUAUCCCACAGUGGUCGAUGUGGCUGUAGUACUGGAGGAGGAAGCUGUCAUGGACAAUCUGGGAGACUUCACAAAUGCCCUCAUGAUGCUUGUUUUGGCACUGGUUGAAUACUUGUGUAAUAUUUUACUUGAGCCUAACAGGCAAGUUCAUAUGUAUUUAAAUAAAUACAUAAAAUCUUCUUUAUCAAAGCACAGUGUGUAAUUUAUUUGAAAUAAUGAAAAAUAGAGUAUUUUGACCAAGAUUAAAUAUUUAAUACAACAUUUUAUUUCAAUUUGAGUCUGCUUGCUGGCCCAACAAGCUAUGUUUAGUCAACAGAAAAUAUUUAAUUGACACAACGUUCUAUUUCAAGUUCCGUCUACAUGCAGGGGUAGUCAGCACAACACAAAAAAGUUGGUUUCAGCAACUUAAAUUGGGCCAACUAAAAAUUUUAGGUGCAACGGGUCACUAGAAAUUUUUAUGUUGGAGAGGCAUAUUUUUUUUUACAG